rnacentral:rRNA from 1 species
UUGAUUAGUGGCGCACGGGUGAGUAAUGCAUAGAUAAUGUGCCCCUUAGUUCGGGAUAGCCACUGGAAACGGUGAUUAAUACCGGAUACUCCUUCUUGUUAUAAGACAAGUCGGGAAAGUUUUUCGCUAAGGGAUCAGUCUAUGUUCCAUCAGCUUGUUGGUGAGGUAAUGGCUCACCAAGGCUAUGACGGAUAUCUGGUUUGAGAGGAUGAUCAGACACACUGGAACUGAGACACGGUCCAGACUCCUACGGGAGGCAGCAGUGAGGAAUAUUGCACAAUGGAGGAAACUCUGAUGCAGCAACGCCGCGUGGAGGAUGACGCAUUUCGGUGUGUAAACUCCUUUUAUUAGGGAAGAUAAUGACGGUACCUAAUGAAUAAGCACCGGCUAACUCCGUGCCAGCAGCCGCGGUAAUACGGAGGGUGCAAGCGUUACUCGGAAUCACUGGGCGUAAAGGGUGCGUAGGCUGGCUUUUAAGUCAGAUGUGAAAUCCAAUGGCUCAACCAUUGAACUGCAUUUGAAACUGAAAGCCUAGAGUUCAGAAGGGGCAGAUGGAAUUAGUGGUGUAGGGGUAAAAUCCGUAGAUAUCACUAGGAAUAUCAAAAGCGAAGGCGAUCUGCUGGGAUGAU